rnacentral:rRNA from 1 species
AUUGAACGCUGGCGGAAUGCUUUACACAUGCAAGUCGAACGGCAGCACGGGAGCAAUCCUGGUGGCGAGUGGCGAACGGGUGAGUAAAGUAUCGGAACGUACCUUUCAGUGGGGGAUAACGUAGCGAAAGUUACGCUAAUACCGCAUAUUCUGUGAGCAGGAAAGCAGGGGAUCGCAAGACCUUGCGCUGAUGGAGCGGCCGAUAUCAGAUUAGCUAGUUGGUGAGGUAAAGGCUCACCAAGGCGACGAUCUGUAGCGGGUCUGAGAGGAUGAUCCGCCACACUGGCACUGAGAUACGGGCCAGACUCCUACGGGAGGCAGCAGUAAGGAAUAUUGGUCAAUGGUGGGAACACUGAACCAGCCAUUCCGCGUGAAGGAUGAAUGCCCUCUGGGUUGUAAACUUCUUUAGUCUGGGACGAAAAAGACUUCAUUCAUGAAG